GUUGGAGAUAUUUCUGUGAGAGGUAUGUCGAGAACAUUUUAUUCGAGUAUCCGAGUUUUGAAUUUGUACUCAAUGGUUCGAUUUUUGGUGCGAAUACUCGUCAGGAAUGUUGUUGAUUACUUUAAAAAGUAAUUUAUAAAAUUACAAUUAAUUUGCUAAUCUCAUGAAAUAAAUAACAUUACAUUUACUCCUAAAAAGUGACCGACGACCUUUAAUAGAUUACUUUCUGUAAAUCAAUCAUGAUUACAUUAGAUUACAGUGUUUACUAUGAUGUAAAGGGUUUUUAACAUAAAAAAAAACAAAAAAAAACCACUAAUUUUUGUGAAAAAUUAUGAAGAAUGGGCAGAGUAAAUGUCCUUGCACGCAAUUGAUCAGCUUCCACACUUUGUAUACCUUUACAAAUAGUAAUACAUUAUUUGUUUAAAGGGAAAGAUAGUUGUGAACAUCAAAUAUGCCACGGAAG
rnacentral:lncRNA from 1 species